AGCGAACGCUGGCGGCAGGCCUAACACAUGCAAGUCGAACGAACCCUUCGGGGAUAGUGGCGGACGGGUGAGUAACACGUGGGAACGUGCCUUUAGGUACGGAAUAACUCAGGGAAACUUGUGCUAAUACCGAAUGUGCCCUUCGGGGGCAAGAUUUAUCGCCUUUAGAGCGGCUCGCCUCUGAUUAGGUAGUUGGUGAGGUAAUGGCUCACAAAGGCGACGAUCAGUAGCUGGUCUGAGAGGAUGACCAGCCACAUUGGGACUGAGACACGUCCCGAACUCCUGCGGGGGGCAGCAGUGGGGAAUCUUGCGGAAUGGGCCAAAGCCUGCAGCAGCCAUGCAGCGUGGAUGAUGAAUGUCUUAGGCUUGUAAAAUCCUUUCACCGGUGAAGAUAAUGACUGUAGCCGGAGAAGAAGCCCCGGCUAACUUCGUGCCAGCAGCCGCAGUAAUAC
rnacentral:rRNA from 1 species